GCAGUCUGUGGCCUUUGGAUACUUUAACACACAAGUGGUUGAAGAAGGAAGAUGGAUGUUUCGUAAAUAAAGUUAAUACUUUCAAUAAAAUAGGUAUUGUCAUAAUACGCGGCCAAGACACUUCUGAGGGUGCUGUGGUGAAACGGCUGGUAUUUACGCAAAAUGUCCAUCCGGUUCGGUGGAAGGAGUUCUUCGAAUCCCCGCCUCGGUGACCUUUUCUCAGUUGUGCAAGCGUUAAUCCGGGUUGUUGGUGAAUGGCCAAGUUGUCUUCUGCUAAGUGCCUAACAUUGUCGGAUAGAUACAAUUUAUGUGUUUGUUUGUGCGUUUUUACAAUCUUUCAGUUGUACAAAAUAUAUAAUUUGCAUAAAUAAAUUGGCUUUUACAAUUUAUAA